UCCAGACUCCGACGGGGGGCAGCAGUGGGGAAUAUUGCAGAAUGGGCGCAAGGCUGAUGCAGCCAUGCCGCGUGUAUGAAGAAGGGCUUAGGGUUGUAAAGUACUUUCAGCGGGGAGGAAGGUGUUGCGGUUAAUAACCGAAGCAAUUGACGUUACCCGCAGAAGAAGCACCGGCUAACUCCGUGCCAGCAGCCGCGGUAAUACGGAGGGUGCAAGC
rnacentral:rRNA from 1 species